AGCGGCGGACGGGUGAGUAACGCGUGGGUAACCUGCCUCAUACAGGGGAGUAACAGUUGGAAACGGCUGCUAAUACCGCAUAAGCGCACAGUACCGCAUGGUACCGUGUGAAAAACUCCGGUGGUAUGAGAUGGACCCGCGUCUGAUUAGCUAGUUGGUGGGGUAACGGCCUACCAAGGCGACGAUCAGUAGCCGACCUGAGAGGGUGACCGGCCACAUUGGGACUGAGACACGGCCCAA
rnacentral:rRNA from 1 species